UCUUUUCUUCCAUUUGCCCUGUCCGCCUUCUCUACUGUGUCGGUACAGGCCUGGCACGGCACGACGCGGGCCUAUAUCGAUUUGUGCCGCUGAGCAAUCGGUCUGGUGCUUGGUAUUGGUACAACAGACAAUGCUACAGUUACUAUGCCAUUUUUGUUAAUGGCAUGACAUUUGGUAAAGGAAGCAAAAAAAAGAAAAGAAUGACCUUGUCCCAAUGCGUUGCUGUAUGUUGUUGAGGAAGAACAAGAAGGGAGGAGGAAAUUAGGGAACCUUGAUCUCAAGGUUUGAUGUCAUUGAGCUGGAGAGGAUGUUUUGCUGACUAGAAGUUUUGAUGAUUAAGAAUGGAGAGGAAAGGGAACUUGAGAAUGGUUGUGGGAUUGUGGCUUGUGACACCUUGAGGGCAAGGAGCUGCUUGGGGGCUAGGGCAACCUCUAAAGAUAAGAAGCUGAGCCAUUUGAAUGCAAUGCAAUGGCUAAUGUUGUCUCUUUUUACAAGUCUUGUUCGCCCUAGAUAGCUUUAAGUGUGUUCGCUGCCCCCCCACUCUCUAGUUAUAACCACUCAUAUCUUAAAACUAUUUGCACCUCAUACACUUGAGAAAGGUAGAAGUACAUCUCACAAAAUUGAGGGUGUGCUUUUGACUAGAAAUAAGAUUUUAGUAUUAAAUUUAGUGGAGAUCAUAGUUCUUUUUUUCUUGGUGAGUAGAGAUCAUAGUUGACCAACAACAUGUCAUAUGCUUAAUACUAAUAUAAUAUAUAUUAACUUUAAUUAUUUGUAAUUUUGAGUUCUAUUGAACUAAAAUUGAGCAAGUUGAAUCUAAAUUGUGUUCAGCUUAUUUAUUUUUUGAGCUCAAAAAUUUAGCUUAUAUUUAGCUCGUUUACCAGUUGAGUAAUCCAAUUUCAAGCUGAAUUUUGAGUCAAACACGAGCUGCUUGCAAACAGCUUGUUUGUUUGACGGCCCUAAUUGUGUUGCCAACCUCAAAUUAGCUGCUCUUUCUUCAUGUUUUGCCUAACUAUGAUAACCAUCAAAAAAUUUGUCUGGAUCUUCUUAAUAUUGCUUUGGUUUUACAUUAAAAAAAAUCUUUUAGCAGUCCUUGACGUUGUUAAGCUCUGUUUUUUUGGGUGGCACUUGACCUGCUAAUCCCACCGCAAUCCAUUUGAUCAAGGUUGAGCUACUAAUCUUUUCAUCUCUAUAUGAUGAGGCAUUUCAGAGUUUGCUAAGAUCCCUUGAGUUCUUACUUCAAAUUCUAUUUCUAUUCCAGGGGGUGGGGGGGAGUCUUAGGGUUUAGCCCCAAAUGGGCCGUUUAUGGAUGGUUUAAUGACUA
rnacentral:lncRNA from 1 species